rnacentral:rRNA from 1 species
UACGUAGGGGGCAAGCGUUGUCCGGAAUCAUUGGGCGUAAAGCGCGUGUAGGCGGCUCGGUAAGUCUGCUCUGAAAGCCCGGGGCUCAACCCUGGGAGGCGGGUGGAUACUGCUGAGCUCGAGUCCGGAAGAGGCGAGUGGAAUUCCUGGUGUAGCGGUGAAAUGCGCAGAUAUCAGGAGGAACACCGGUGGCGAAGGCGGGUCUCUGGGCCGAUACUGACGCUGAGGAGCGAAAGCGUGGGGAGCGAACAGG